UUGAAAUGUUUUCUCUGUUUUAAGCAAGUAGACUUAUGAUGUACUUUCUGAUUUUUUUCUUCUGAUAGUACAUAUGUCUGUCCACAUUGAAAUCAUAGACACUGACAAAUAUACAGGAGAGAGGAAAGCUUUCAAAUAAGUGGUGAUUAAGUCCUCAGGAAAAUGCUAUCAGAUAAGUGAAGAAAUAGUGGAGGUGGUAUAAGGAAACUCUGUAGUGAUGUGUGGAGGAGCCGAUAAUGGAAGUUGCACACACCCAAGAUGGAGGCUGGACAAAAGCCUUGAGUGAGAAGCAAGGCCAAAAGACUCAAUCAUUCCUCAGCAGGGGACAGAAGGAUUGCAAGGAAUGAGAAAGUACUUAGUGACCAUCCAUGUCCCACCAUUUCCAGACAUUUCUCUAUGUAUUGUCCAAUUAAACAGUGAUUUUACAAUUGACCAAAAUCACAUAUCUUAUAUGGAAUGAAGGCUACAUCAUGGGCACCCAGAAUUCUGCCUUUUACUUGCUAUGUGG